AAAUGCUCCAACAUCUUGGAGAACUAACCACAGAUCUUCUGUGGAUGUAGGCUUUCUCACAUCCUUCUGUCUCUUCAUGUAAUCCCAGACACACUCGAUGAUGUUGAGAUCAGGGCACUGUGGUCCCACUGGUUCUGAGCUGAUGGCAUUGAUGGACAUCUUCCGAUUUCGAAGGGUAAUAAGCUUGAUGUGUCUUUCAUCUGCUGCACUAAGUUUCCUGGCCCGACCACUGUGUCUACGAUCCUCAACGUUGCCCGUUUCUUUGGUGCUUCUUCAAAAGAGCUUGAACAGCACAUCUUGAAACCCCACUCUUUGAAAUCUUUGUCUGGGAGAGACCUUGUUGAUGCAGUAUAACUACCUUGUGUCUUGUUGCUGUGCUCAAUCUUGCCAUGAAACUGUCUUUCACAACCUCUCCGUGGGAGCAGAGUUUGGCUGUACUUAGUACUAGCCAAUACCUGGCUACACAUCACAGCACUUUCACUGUUGCACAGUAUAGAACUCUUUUAGCUAAGUUUUGAUAUUUUACUGUCAAAGAAUGCAAUAAUACAUAAUAGUAAUAUAGGUUUGGUAAUGUUGAAAGUGCACAAUAUUUUAAGUGUUCUGCAUCAUUUUAUAUCACUAAUGUGAAACCUGGCCACAGUGUUUAUUACUUGUAGUGUCAUGCGUUGAAUAUUAAAUAUAUGUUAGUAACAUUUUAAAAUCUGUUUUGACCCUAUAAUGCAUGUUAAUUAAUUAGUAAUAAACAUUUUAGCUUUGAAAGCGAAGGAUGCAAAGAGACAGACAAAAGGGGACAAAGAGGGUCAACAAUGGUAGCAUUUUAACAAGAUCUGAACAAUCUGAUGACGGGCUUCAGUGAAAAAACCUGUGAAGUUUCUUCUCGACAGGUGAGUUAACAUGGACUUUGAUUAAACUUCAAAUAAACCGUUUAUUAAAAGUAGUCUACUUUUACCUGUUGAGACUUGCCCUUACUUUUAGAUCAAUACAAUCUGUGUUUGUGGUGUUUAAGCAGAGAGAGGAUAAUUAACGAAAAGGGCUCUCCUUUGCAAAAGUGAAAAACCCCUGCUGAAACCAGCCAGGCUGGCAGACCAGUCCUUCCAGAUUUAACCAGCUAAGACCAGCCUACCAGCCUAGUCUGGUUUUAGCUGAUUUAUUUCAGCAUAGAAUUUGCUUUAUUUUUGUAGUUCGCUAGAAGACACUAGUAGCACAGAAACCGUCCGCUCCACCUUUAAAAGAAAAAUAAUCCAGGCAUGAAAUAAAGCAACAGAAUAUCAGACUGCAGCAUGACAUGCCACUCUACUGACACUGGCGUGAAAAUGUAAACCAGAACAAAGCCCAGGCCUGACACACAUUUAACGCCUUUGGGAUGAAUUGGAUUGCUGACUGUCCGUGUCUGACCUCACGGAUGAAUGGGACCAAAUCCCCGCUGCUGUUCCAACACACAAUAAACCAUCUUUACACGAAGAAGCUUAUACAGAGAACUGGCACCUUAUAAUGUCAAUGUGUAUGCUUUUAAUUAUUAUUAAGAAAUGCUUUGAAAACAAGCACCGACGUGUUUGAGAGGAUUGUUUUCGGCCAUCAGUUUACCGAGCGUGUUCUUCGUGACGCUAGAUGGCGCGCGCUACCUUGAUAGACACGCGCUUCAUAAAGAAGAAGAGCGCGCGACUUCCUGCGAGUGGCGGAAGUUUUUGAUCGAGGAAUAUAAUCCCAAUAUUCAUGUGCUUGUUUUCUGUUCUGCAGCCGAAAUGUCUUCGCUCACCAUGCUCUACAGUUUAAAUUGACUCCGGAACUUAAAAAAAAUGCCACAUGAAAAAAACCGUAGCAGCCUUUUUUCUAACGCCUGUCAUUUUCCCUGGACCGGAGGAGAGCUCUGACCCUCUCACCUGAGAUCAAACGUGACAGCUUCCAGACCGAAAGUCCUCUUAAGAUCCCCAGGAGAGUGCCCACAGCUGAGGAUGAGUGUGUGGAUACAGGGAAGGUGACUAUGAUUUGUUGACAAGACUUUUUACAUUUGAGACAUUUAAAAACUGCAUACAGCAAUAUGAUAAAAUACAUCAUAAAAUACAGUGUUCAAUGAAAUGUUCAAUGAAUGCUUAUUAAUAGAAUUAGGAAAAAACAUUCUUUAACCUAACUGUUUAGUUUAUUGUUAUAACUAUACUGCCACCAGGCAUUGAAUUUAUUUGACAUAUAUUAACAGAGAACAUGUGUUUAUUUGUUUUAGGAUUUAUUUUAUAUUUUUUUCUGUUCCAGCGAACAGUUUUGACUACUGGAAACCUCAGUUAGCAAUUCUGUGCUCUUUUAAAGUUUUGGUAAUUUCUGAUUGGCUUUGUUUUCUGUACUGCUAGAUCCACUGGACACAGUUUGCCUCAAAUGGUACAGCAUCCCAGUCAGAUCCAAAGUCACAAAAAAACAGUGAUCAAGAACAUACCGUAUGGCAGGAAAUCCGCAGGCGUCAGGUUAAGGUGGUUUUAGAAGAUGUCCUUCAUACAGAGAUCGGGCAGAGAUUGCUGAGAUGUGGCGGGCAGAGUUUCCAAAAGUCAGAGAGCAAAAGACCGAGUGAUCGCAUCGCAGCAGCUGAGCUCAAA